rnacentral:lncRNA from 1 species
UACAUAUAAACAACAGACUCUCUUCUUUAUUGCUUUGUGCUUUUAGUUUUAAAGUUAACAAUCUCUCAGCUUGACAUCCUAGCUUUCGUUUUUGUUUGCAUUUACAGAAUAUUUAUUUAUGGCCCACCUUGAGCUCUCUAUUAGGUUGUAUUUGCUAUUUGGUUUCAAGUAUUUUCCCAAGAACUUUUUCAGAUGGGGUAUAAGGCAGAUAUAUUUUUCCAAAUAAUUGUAUAUUCAGACUUUCUUUUACUUCAAAAGGCAGUCAACAUUUCUCAUAUACGGUCUUGGAUGCUGUUCCAGUGUCUUGUAAAGAAAUCCCUUCAAACCUCUAGAAUUAGGAUAUUUUGAUCUCUUAAUUUUCUCUACCUGCACCCCAAAUGUUGGCAGUUCUAAGCAUGGAGAAAGGAAGAAUGAUUUAUCCUUCCACGGGCCACCAGCAUAGAAGCAGGGAGUAUCUAUACAUCACCCCCCAAGACUCCUGGAUGAAGCCUCUUUCCCAUUCACCUGUCCUUUUGUCUCUCCCAUUCAGGAACAGGUAGGUCUCUGCCCCUAUGCAGCCAUUGCUUCACCUUUAGGAGGCCAGGGAGACCAAGCCUGCUCCUGCAGAGCUGAUGUUGACAGCUUCCCAGGGUUCUUCACACCUCUGCGUCUUAGUACUUCCCCGGAUCCUCCGAUGUACGUAGUCUUGGCUGCCAGGGUCUCCAGGGUUGGUGAUAUCUAGAUUAUUGUCCAGCCUAUGGAGAGGAGAGUUCAUGCCCAUUUCUCUGCAAGUCUUUUCACAGAACCUAAAACCUCACCAAAUCUCAUUCAGAGGCCAGGUCACUGCUGCCAUUUGACACAGGAGACGAGCCUGAUUGUCUCCCAUGAAUAAAGCUUUGUGGGUGCUGUUUAAAACUAUGGGUCUCUUUUGUCUUCAGCAGAAACGGUUUUUCAUUGUUUUCGUAUACUUCUAAGACGUUAAAAAUACUUGAAUAUUUACACUAAUUUUCAAACUUCUUUAGGUUUUGUAUUAGCACUCUCCACAAAAAUAACAUAUGUAUAUAGUAUAUAUAACAUUAUAUAUCUUAGAUGAAACUAUAUAGAUAGAACAAAAAAUGUGUUCUAGACUAAAUUUGUCCUCUGAACAAAUUUUCCACCAGCUCUAGUCAUUGCUGCAUUAGGGAUUCUUGUCAUCUAAGGACUGGGUUUUACUACAUGAAGAUGCUCCUGUUGACAUAAACUGCUCAAUGCAAACGUUUACCUGCAUGUCAACGCGCAGCCUACCCAACUCAAACAACUCUUCAUGGCCACGAGGUUACAACAGACACUUUGGCCGGGGACCCACUUAUUUUCUGAGAUUGUUUCACUAUGGUCCUGGGGCAGCGAGCUCCCGUGGGGUGAAAGGCGCCCUCUGCAGUACCGGAUGCGGCAGCGGCUCAGAAGGGCUGUGCAGGGGAUCGCUGGUUAAUUGAUCAGAGCCAGUUUUCUUUAUCAAUGCUGGGAACGCGGGGGUGAGGUGAGUCAGUCCCAGCUUGUACUCUGGUUUCUGAGCUGUGGAAUCCAACAGGAAGAUCCCUUUCCCACCAGCUAAGCACAGACCUGAGAUUUCCCCUGCUUGACUUCCAGCCGGGUCUUCACCGUGCUGUGCCAGCUGCCUCAGGCUGUGGUCCUUGUUAUUUAUUUGUUUUUGUUUUUUUUUCAUCAGCUUGGUUCUUUUCUAUGAAAUGUUUUUGCUCAUUGUUGAAAACUUAAAGGCAAAAACCAAACCCAUCUUCCAGUUGUGGGAUAAAGCAUCUUCAUCGUCUGAUUCCAUUAUUUCUCAAGUGUGCUACGCGAUUGUGUUCCUGUUAGCUUUUACUUUCCUGAACAGGAUCAUGUUCUAAAGAUGAGAAGCCACGCUAUUACCAGCAGGUUGGAAGAUGAAUAAAGGCACCGUCGAGGCCUCUGAUGGACUAAACCUGCAUGUUCAGCACCCAAAUACAAAGUUUGUGUCUUCAACAAAAUCCCUUCAUAAUUGUUUCUUUUGCUUCAGACGAGAGAAAAAGUCGACACCUGCUUUCCUUCUGCCAUCGUCGCUGGGAAGUGUCCUCUUGUCCAUCUCCUGUCCAGAGGCGCCUUCCUGCUGUGCCCCCCGGAAUAUGGCUCUUUCUGAUUUUACCAGCCCUUUUCACAUCACUGCACCCAGGGGAAACGUCCUCUCCCCAGCCUCCUAAAGUGUGGCCAUGCUAUCUCCUUCCUGAGACACUUUCCUCUGGAGAUUGCCCUGCUGUGAUAGCCUAGUCAUUGCCAUCCCGGACACUCAUGGUACCCUGUACCCGAACCAAAUCAGAGCACUUUGACACAAGGCAGCCUCCAGGCAGGGGUCACCCUGGGAUUGUAAGAUCCAUGUCACUCCAACAGAGCCUCUUCCUUCCCUCUCACUGGUUUCUGCCAACAGAGGGCGGCCAGGCACCACGCCCAUAUGCCUUGAAUCUGAGCUAACCACCAUGUAGGAUCUAAGAAAAAUAUGCUUACCAGAUGAUGUUGGCCAGGCGCAGUGGCUCACGCCUGUAGUCCCAGCAUUUUGGGAGGCCAAAGC